ACUCAAAUGAAUAGACGGGGACCCGCACAAGCGGUGGAUGAUGUGGUUUAAUUCGAUGCAACGCGAAAAACCUUACCCACCUUUGACAUGCACGGAACCCUCCAGAGAUGGAGGGGUGCCCGAAAGGGAGCCGUGACACAGGUGCUGCAUGGCUGUCGUCAGCUCGUGUCGUGAGAUGUUGGGUUAAGUCCCGCAACGAGCGCAACCCUUGUCAUUAGUUGCUACAUUCAGUUGGGCACUCUAAUGAGACUGCCGGUGACAAACCGGAGGAAGGUGGGGAUGACGUCAAGUCCUCAUGGCCCUUAUAGGUGGGGCUACACACGUCAUACAAUGGCCGGUACAAAGGGCUGCCAACCCGCGAGGGGGAGCUAAUCCCAUAAAACCGGUCGUAGUCCGGAUCGCAGUCUGCAACUCGACUGCGUGAAGUCGGAAUCGCUAGUAAUCGUGGAUCAGAAUGUCACGGUGAAUACGUUCCCGGGUCUUGUACACACCGCCCGU
rnacentral:rRNA from 1 species